rnacentral:lncRNA from 1 species
CAGUAAAUCUUCAUAUUUCUUGUUGAACUCUGCUUCAGUGCCAGAAGAAUCCCAUUCUACACUAUAUUCUUGGGCAAUUUCCUUCAAUACUUUGAGCCUUAUUUCACCUGAUGGAGCACUAACUGAAAGCUUUUCAAUUAUAUAGAUGACAGAAAGAAAAGGGAAUCGAAUCAGAAAUGGCAUAUCAUCUAUUCAAGUUGCAAACUCCACGAGUCUAGCAAAACCAUUGAACCACACAAGAGAAUUUUAAAUGAACUAAUGAUAUAUAUUUUUUGAAAAUAGAACUAAUGAUAAUUAACUGCACGGUUCACGCCAGAAUCAGGACGAAGCUCCGUUGCAGCAAUGACAAAUUCCUUUCCAUACUUUGUGGCAAACAAAUUCUUGAUCUGCAAUAAAUCAGGCACAUCUGAACAUCUAGGAGCAGCAAAAAUUAUGCUUGCCACAGCUUCUCGUAAUUCUGGAGGACAGUCUCUGUUACGUGCAAAGACAUGUUAAAAUGGGUAGUUAGGUUGUGCAAAGAAAUGAAAACACUUAAGAUGCUCAAAUUCUUGACUAAGAAAACCAAAAUAAUUCAAAUGAGAAUGACAUAAAAAUUCUUGAAUUAUAACUUGUUACACGUAAGAUUAUAAUACAAAAACAUAACUUGGAAGAAAUAUGUGGUUAUCAGUUAUCACACAAUCAUGCACCCAAACAUUAUUGAAACAAUUGGAAAAGAAUCAGAAGCUGUUGCUUCUAUGGACCCAAGUUGGUAUCCUCAAAAUAUACCCCUAAUGCAGUAAAAUCCACAUUCAUUUUCUUCAAUGUAGCAAUUGAUCAAACUAAACAACCCGCGCUUUUGCUUUGUAAUGAAAGAAUGCAUUUAGUGCUUUAGUUCCAUUAUUGUAAAAUGCGAAUAAAUUUUGUAUCCACAUUUUCUCUUCCCUUAAUUGCAAUGUUGAUUAGAGUUGCCCUCUGGUAAAUCAGUGGCUUGCCUGCUCUCAGGAAUUCUUAGUCCUA